AUGGGGCUUCUCACCAUUAUUCGACAGAUCAAACGGAAGCAGAAACAAAUACGUCUCCUCAUGGUGUAUUGGGUUGACAAUUUGGGCAAGACUACGAUUUUGAUGAGGCUUAAUGGGGACGACACCAGCCUUGUCACUCCCACCCUCGGCUUCAACAUCAAGACCCUCACUUACCUCAAGUAUACGCUCAAUAUAUGGGAUGUGGGGGGGUCAGAAAACGAUACGAUCUUAUUGGAGAAACUAUUUUGAACAGACUGAUGGUCUUGUAUGGGUGGUUGACAGUUCUGAUCUUAGACGAUUAGACGACUGCAAAAUGGAGCUCCAUAAUCUUCUAAAGGAAGAGAGGCUAUCAGGAUCCUCUUUAUUGAGACUAGCAAAUAAGCAGGGCAUAAGAGGUGCCCUUACUCUAGAAGAAAUUUCCAAGGUUUUGAACUUGGAGGCAAUGGAUAAAACUCGACACUGUAAUAUUGUUGGCUGCAGUGCAUACACAGGUGUGGGACUGCUUGUAGGAUUUGAUUGGUUGGUCCAAGACAUUGCCUCUAGGAUCUCUGUGCUUGACUAAGGCCAGUUUUCAGUAAUUCUAAUUUCGGUAGUGUGUUGAGUGACUUGAGUCAUCUUUUCAGUUUCAGUGAACACUUGACAAUCAUCCAGUAGUAUAUAUGGCAGUUAUCUUUUCAGUUACAUGAGUGUGUAUGUGUCUCUUUAAUUGUAACGAGUCAUUGUUUCGGAAUGGGCUCAGCUCUGAGACUCAUUAUUGACUGGAAAUUGUAACUUUGUACCAUUAUGAAGUUAAAUGUGAGAAGUAAUG